GACAUUUGAAGAUAAUUUUAAUGACACAGAAACCCUUCAUAUAGGUGUAUAGGGAUAUAGGUGUUUAAAUGUUUAAAUCCCAGUUCUUUACCAUCUCUGCCUCCAAUAGAGUUGCUCUGAACUGCACUAGCACUCUUUUUCACAUCAGAGGAGGUUUUCUCUACAUUGACAUCAUGCUUGCACACAAAAAAGUAAUCAGUAAACAGGAGUCUAUGGGGGUCUAUCUAUGCAUUAGGUUCAUAAGUCUAUGGGGGUCUAUGUAUGUAUCAGGUUCAUAAGUCUAUGGGGGUCUAUGGGAGUCUAUGUAUGCAUUAGGUUCAUAAGUCUAUGGGGGUCUAUGGGGGUGUAUGUAUAUAUUAUGUCUAUGGGAGUGGGGUGUUCUGGAGGUCACAGAUAAGAAUCUGAAUAUUUGAUUCACCAAGAAGUGAGUACAAGGAAUUUCUUUUGGUGUAGGAGGUGUCAACAUAAAAUUAGGCCAAGUAAGAAAAAAAAAGCAAGUUAGCAAGUAAAAAAAAGGAGAGAGACUAAAAUAGAAAAAAAAACAUAAAAUAAACACACAAUACACAAGAAAAACUUCAGGUCAAAGGAUGUGUGAUGCAACAAUAGAAAGUGCAAAAGUGCUCUGACAACAGUAGGCAUGUGCAGUAAUUUAAAGCAGAGGGAUGGCAGAAGGGUCCCUGUUCAGGAGGACUGGCCUGGGGAGAGCUGUGGAGAUGGCAGAAGGGACCCUGUUCAGGAGGACUAUGGCCUGAGGAGAGCUGUGGAGAUGG
ensembl:lncRNA